CUACGUGCCAGCAGCCGCGGUAAUACGUAGGUCCCGAGCGUUGUCCGGAUUUAUUGGGCGUAAAGCGAGCGCAGGCGGUUAGAUAAGUCUGAAGUUAAAGGCUGUGGCUUAACCAUAGUACGCUUUGGAAACUGUUUAACUUGAGUGCAAGAGGGGAGAGUGGAAUUCCAUGUGUAGCGGUGAAAUGCGUAGAUAUAUGGAGGAACACCGGUGGCGAAAGCGGCUCUCUGGCUUGUAACUGACGCUGAGGCUCGAAAGCGUGGGGAGCAAACAGGAUUAGAUACCCUGGUAAUCCACGCCGUAAACGAUGAGUGCUAGGUGUUAGACCCUUUCCGGGGUUUAGUGCCGUAGCUAACGCAUUAAGCACUCCGCCUGGGGAGUACGACCGCAAGGUUGAAACUCAAAGGAAUUGACGGGGGCCCGCACAAGCGGUGGAGCAUGUGGUUCAAUUCGAAGCAACGCGAAGAACCUUACCAGGUCUUGACAUCCCUCUGACCGCUCUAGAGAUAGAGUUUUC
rnacentral:rRNA from 1 species